rnacentral:misc_RNA from 1 species
UGAAGUUUGGCCAACACUUCAAUACUCAACCACCACCUAAUGUAACACUCCAACGGCCAAAUUAACUCUUAACUUUCACUUUUUUUUUCCUUCAAUUUUCAUCCUACGACCACAAAAGGAGGGAAAAACUAGAGACUUCUAGUUUGUGGAGAUAAAUCAAAUAAUGAAGCAUAUUGAGAGGAGAGAUUAAUUUACAAACAAAA